GGGGAUGUAUCUCAGUGGCAGAGGUCUUGCCUUGCAUGCAUGAGGUCCUAGGUUUGAUCCCUAGCACCAUAA
rnacentral:tRNA from 1 species